UUACGGCCACAUCACGUUGAAACACCGGUUCCCGUACGAUCACCGGAGUUAAGCAUGCCGAGCCUGAUCAGUACCUAGAUGGGGGAUCACUUGGGAAUACUAAGUACUGUGA